rnacentral:rRNA from 1 species
GACGAACGCUGGCGGCGUGCUUAACACAUGCAAGUCGAACGAAGUGGCGAACGGGUGAGUAACGCGUAAUCAACCUGCCCAUCAGAGGGGGACAACAGUUGGAAACGACUGCUAAUACCGCAUACUGAAGGAGGGGAUUGCGUCUGAUUAGCUAGUUGGGGGGGUAACGGCCCACCAAGGCGAUUAUCAGUAGCCGGUCUGGGAGGAUGAACCGCCACCAUGGGACUGGGACACGGCCCCGGCUCCUACGGGAGGCAACAGUGGGGGAUCUUUCGCAAUUGACGGAAAGCUGGCGGAGCAACGCCGCGUGAGUGGUGACGGCCUUCGGGUUGUAAAGCUCUGGUAAUCGGGGCGCGGUACCGGAAUAGAAAGCCACGGCUAACUACGUGCCAGCAGCCGCGGUAAUUC